rnacentral:rRNA from 1 species
GGGGAAUAUUGGACAAUGGAGGGAACUCUGAUCCAGCAAUUCUGUGUGCACGAAGAAGGUUUUCGGAUUGUAAAGUGCUUUCAGUUGGGAAGAAGGAAGUGACGGUACCAACAGAAGAAGCGACGGCUAAAUACGUGCCAGCAGCCGCGGUAAUACGUAUGUCGCGAGCGUUAUCCGGAAUUAUUGGGCAUAAAGGGCAUCUAGGCGGUUAUGCAAGUCAGGGGUGAAAACUUACGGCUCAACCGUGAGCUUGCCUUUGAAACUGUGUGACUAGAGUACUGGAGGGGUGGGCGGAACUACACGAGUAGAGGUGAAAUUCGUAGAUAUGUGUAGGAAUGCCGAUGAUGAAGAUAGCUCACUGGACAGAAACUGACGCUGAAGUGCGAAAGCUAGGGGAGCGAACAGGAUUAGAUACCCUGGUAGUCCUAGCUGUAAACGAUGAUCACUGGGUGUGGGCAUGAAGAGUGUCUGUGCCGAAGCUAAUGCGAUAAGUGAUCCGCCUGGGGGGUACGACCGCAAGGUUG